UACAGAGGGUGCGAGCGUUGUCCGGAAUCACUGGGCGUAAAGGGCGCGUAGGUGGCCUGAUAAGUAGGGGGUGAAAUCUCGUGGCUCAACUGCGAGGCUGCCUCCUAAACUGUCAGGCUCGAGCAGAGUAGAGGCAGGUGGAAUUCCCGGUGUAGCGGUGGAAUGCGUAGAGAUCGGGAAGAACAUCGGUGGCGAAGGCGGCCUGCUGGGCUCUUGCUAACACUGAGGCGCGACAGCGUGGGGAGCAAACAGG
rnacentral:rRNA from 1 species